CUUUUGAAGUCCCACGGCCUUCUUCUCUCCCCAAUCUCCUUUUCCGGCGAGCCAACAGAGGCUGCACGCUAAAUCUCCGCCGUGGCCCCAAAUCUCCACCUCACUGCUGGCGCCGCUGCUCCAUAGCCUCACGCCGGUUCCCUGCCUCGACCCCAAAGCCUCUCACUGCCACAAAUCCUAGGUCCCGCCGUCCCUCCCCAAAGCAUGCCGACGCCAUCUCCCUGAACCAUAUUGUCUUCUUAUCUUCUAUCCCCAAGCCACCGAGCAAAACCCCCAAAUCACACCACCAUGUGCGUGAUCCCUCUGCCACCAGCCCCUCAAAAUUGCGCCAACCAUCGAUCUCCUCCGGUUGAUGGUGGUCCCGACGCCGCCAUGAGCCCUGCCUGACGCUGGAUACCGUCGCCGCCGCCGCUGCCGGACACCAUCGCUACUCCCUCCUGCCGGACGCCGUCGUUGCCAUAGCCAGAUGCAGACGGCUCUUCCCACUCGACCAAUCCUCUUGCGCAUGAGAUUUGCUAAGUGCAAGGAAGAAUUUGUCUCCGAGGAAGUUGGUGGGAUCGAUGGUGGUGAAGAACAGAUGGCUUGCCUUCUUCCUCAGUCAGUUCAUGGAUACUUGCAAGCCGUCAUACAAGUGCAUGACUCGGUGAUUAAAUUCUCAUAUGCAGUCCUCGUUUCUUCUUGAGAUAUACUAGUUUCUUGAUUAGUUGAAUCCAAUGUGUAGAUCUGGAAGUGAAGAACCAAUCAACCAAGAGCCAUCAAGGAGCAGAUCAAGCCAGUUGCUGAAGAAAAAUUGGAUUCUUGGAUUGAUUAGGCUAUUGUCGUUAUAUAAGUCUCUGCAAUAUGUUCUGUUUUCUGUGGACUUUAAAGAAUGUUUGUAGUUCAGUGGCCGUUGUGAGCUGGGAAAUAAUCUGACAUUUUUUUUCAUUUGUUCUUGUACGUACAAGGUGCAUAUAUUCACUUAACUAUGAAAGUGUGGACUUAUUUCUA